UACAGAGGUCUCAAGCGUUGUUCGGAUUCAUUGGGCGUAAAGGGUGCGUAGGCGGCGCGGUAAGUCGGGUGUGAAAUCUCGGAGCUUAACUCCGAAACUGCAUUCGAUACUGCCGUGCUUGAGGACUGGAGAGGAGACUGGAAUUUACGGUGUAGCGGUGAAAUGCGUAGAUAUCGGGAGGAACACCAGUGGCGAAGGCGACAUCCUGGACCGGUAUUGACGCUGAGGCGCGAAAGCCAGGGGAGCAAACGGG
rnacentral:rRNA from 1 species